rnacentral:rRNA from 2 species
CACUGAUUGAUUUUGGUCGCCAACGAGUGGCGGACGGGUGAGUAACACGUAGGUAACCUGCCCAGAAGCGGGGGACAACAUUUGGAAACAGAUGCUAAUACCGCAUAACAACGUUGUUCGCAUGAACAACGCUUAAAAGAUGGCUUCUCGCUAUCACUUCUGGAUGGACCUGCGGUGCAUUAGCUUGUUGGUGGGGUAAUGGCCUACCAAGGCGAUGAUGCAUAGCCGAGUUGAGAGACUGAUCGGCCACAAUGGGACUGAGACACGGCCCAUACUCCUACGGGAGGCAGCAGUAGGGAAUCUUCCACAAUGGGCGCAAGCCUGAUGGAGCAACACCGCGUGAGUGAAGAAGGGUUUCGGCUCGUAAAGCUCUGUUGUUAAAGAAGAACACGUAUGAGAGUAACUGUUCAUACGUUGACGGUAUUUAACCAGAAAGUCACGGCUAACUACGUGCCAGCAGCCGCGGUAAUACGUAGGUGGCAAGCGUUAUCCGGAUUUAUUGGGCGUAAAGAGAGUGCAGGCGGUUUUCUAAGUCUGAUGUGAAAGCCUUCGGCUUAACCGGAGAAGUGCAUCGGAAACUGGAUAACUUGAGUGCAGAAGAGGGUAGUGGAACUCCAUGUGUAGCGGUGGAAUGCGUAGAUAUAUGGAAGAACACCAGUGGCGAAGGCGGCUACCUGGUCUGCAACUGACGCUGAGACUCGAAAGCAUGGGUAGCGAACAGGAUUAGAUACCCUGGUAGUCCAUGCCGUAAACGAUGAGUGCUAGGUGUUGGAGGGUUUCCGCCCUUCAGUGCCGGAGCUAACGCAUUAAGCACUCCGCCUGGGGAGUACGACCGCAAGGUUGAAACUCAAAGGAAUUGACGGGGGCCCGCACAAGCGGUGGAGCAUGUGGUUUAAUUCGAAGCUACGCGAAGAACCUUACCAGGUCUUGACAUCUUGCGCCAACCCUAGAGAUAGGGCGUUUCCUUCGGGAACGCAAUGACAGGUGGUGCAUGGUCGUCGU